GACGAACGCUGGCGGCGUGCCUAAUACAUGCAAGUAGAACGCUGAAGGAGGAGCUUGCUCUUCUGGAUGAGUUGCGAACGGGUGAGUAACGCGUAGGUAACCUGCCUGGUAGCGGGGGAUAACUAUUGGAAACGAUAGCUAAUACCGCAUAAGAGUAGAUGUUGCAUGACAUUUACUUAAAAGGUGCAAUUGCAUCACUACCAGAUGGACCUGCGUUGUAUUAUCUAGUUGGUGGGGUAACGGCUUACCAAGGCGACGAUACAUAGCCGACCUGAGAGGGUGAUCGGCCACACUGGGACUGAGACCCGGCCCAGAAUCCUACGGGAGGCAGCAGUAGGGAAUCUUCGGCAAUGGACGGAAGUCUGAACGAGCAACGCCGCGUGAAUGAAGAAGGUUUUCGGAUCGUAAAGCUCUGUUGUAAGAGAAGAAAGAGUGUGAGAGUGGAAAGUUCACACUGUGACGGUAUCUUACCAGAAAGGGACGGCUAACUACGUG
rnacentral:rRNA from 1 species